rnacentral:miRNA from 1 species
UUAGACCUCUGAACUCUAUGUGGGAUUAGCAGUUCAUUGCUGCUAAU